UAUGUCUGUAGUGAAAGCGUGGGGCUCAACCCCAUAUACAUUAUAGAAACUGCUUGGCUAGAGGACGAGAGAGGUUAUUGGAAUUCCCAGUGUAGGAGUGAAAUCCGUAGAUAUUGGGAGGAACACCGAUGGCGUAGGCAGAUAACUGGCUCGUUCCUGACACUAAGGCACGAAAGCGUGGGGAGCAAACGGGAUUAGAUACCCCGGUAGUCCACGCCGUAAACUACGGAUGCUA
rnacentral:rRNA from 1 species